rnacentral:rRNA from 1 species
UACAGAGGGUGCAAGCGUUAAUCGGAAUUACUGGGCGUAAAGCGUGCGUAGACGGUUACAUAAGUCGGGUGUGAAAGCCCCGGGCUCAACCUGGGAAUUGCAUUCGAGACUGAAUAGCUAGGGUACGGUAGAGGGAAGUGGAAUUUCCGGUGUAGCGGUGAAAUGCGUAGAUAUCGGAAGGAACAUCAGUGGCGAAAGCGACUUCCUGGACCAGUACCGACGUUCAGGCACGAAAGCGUGGGGAGCAAACAGG